CCACAUUGUUAUACUGGUGUUAUUUCUGCUGUGUGUAUAUGUCUUGUGGUCUGCCAGGAUGGUAUAGUUAAUUUCCUAAGUGACAUUGCAUCAACUGGCUCCAGUAUUAUUUUUCCUAUUUCUUUGCUUCCUUUAGUGAAUGAAUGGCUGUCAUCCAGAGAGAUAUAAAAUAUCAAGACCUCUGCUCAAAGACUACACUUGGACUGACAAUUUCAUCAUCCAGAAGACUACUGUAAAAGCUUUGUAGAACAGGAAGAAGACAAGAGCUACCAUCUGGAGAGUAGGAAAUUUGGGGUAAGUAAUCAAAAGCAAUGAACUUAAGAAUCCAAGAAGAUCUCGAACUAUUACUCCUUUGCUUUAAUUUUUAAUCAUGAAAAUACUUGCUAGGAAAAGUGACUGUCUAAAAUGGC
rnacentral:lncRNA from 1 species